UACGGGGGGGGCAAGCGUUGUUCGGAAUUACUGGGCGUAAAGGGCUCGGUAGGAUGGCCAACUAAGUCAGACGUGAAAUCCCUCGGCUUAACCGGGGAACUGCGUCUGAUACUGGAUGGACUUGAGUUUGGGAGAGGGACGCGGAAUUCCAGGUGUAGCGGUGAAAUGCGUAGAUAUCUGGAGGAACACCGGUGGCGAAGGCGGCGUCCUGGACCAACACUGGACACUGAGGGAGCGAAAGCCAGGGGAGCAAACGGG
rnacentral:rRNA from 1 species